GGGCACAACCGCCAGAUCGGAAGGGCAUGAGAAUCUUAAUCUCAGGGUCGUGGGUUCGACCCCCGCGUUGGGCA